GACAGAGGCCUCGAGCGUUAGGCGGAAUCACUGGGCUUAAAGCGUGUGUAGGCGGACCUCUAAGUACCUUGUGAAAUCCCACGGCUCACCCGUGGAACCGCUGGGUAUACUGGGGGUCUUGGGCCACUCAGGGGCGACUGGAACAAGCGGUGGAGCGGUGAAAUGCGUAGAUAUCGCUUGGAACGCCGAAGGUGAAAACAGGUCGCUGGGAGUGUGCCGACGCUGAGACACGAAAGCCAGGGGAGCAAACGGG
rnacentral:rRNA from 1 species